rnacentral:siRNA from 1 species
AUGGUGAAUCACGUUCCUUAC